UACAAUAGUGUGUGUGGUUGUGAUUGGGGAGUUGUGGGUGUAGAUAUGUUACUAUAUAAAUGUGUAAGUGCAUCUGUCCUCAACUAAAUGCAAAUGAGCCUGUAAAAAUGCAUUUUCAGUGCUCAUCAAAAGCGCAGCUCAUCAAUCGAAUGCGAUUUUUGUUAUAUGCGGUGCAAAAUCAUUUGUCUGUCAGCACAAUUAUAAUUAUUAUAUUAUUAUUAUAAUUCGCUGCUAGCGUGUCUAUUUGUUUUAAUGGCCAAUGCAUAAAUAAAUGCCAAAUUACAUUAAUAGCAUUUGUUCAAUGCUCAGCCAUGACUUCCGCCUGUGUGAAUGCGAAUUGUUCAGUGGCGAGCGAAUCAAUUUUUGGAAUUUAACCAAUGUUCAGUCAGUCGGAGAAAUGUUUUCCACUAAAGUUAAUUAACAAUUGUUUUGUACAUGGCACGGGCACAUGGCGAUUGUUGUGGUUCGCUGGGAAUGCAUUUUAAUGGAUUGUUUGUCAGGGAUUAGCAUGCGGACAGUGGCCAAGCACUGGAUAAAGUCGCCAAUGCAAUAUUUUAUGCCUAUGGCUGUCUGCUGACUGCUGCUGAGCCUCCUCAGUGAAAACCGAACAUUAAUCAAUCCAAAAUAAUAAUAAAAAUGAAGCCCGCCCGUAGAAUGUACACAUUUAAUCUACCAGAAAACACUUGCUGCGAAUCCCUUGCCGAACCCUUGUUGAAGUAAAUAUGAAAUUUGAGUAAUUGUUUUUGGGGUCAUGUCCGGGGGCCAAUCAUAAAUCAUGGAAGCUGCUCCAUAGUUUUAGGCGCUCGUCCAUAAAGCUCCUAUUAUAAUGUAAAGCGAAACCGAUGCCAAAGGAUACGUAUGAGCUCAAGUGUGGCAACAAAUUGCAGGUGGCCUCAUGCUACUCCGUGCGCCAGGAUGUGUGACAAAAAAGCAACAAUCACCAUUAGUGUCACCCGCCAUCAUCAAUCAUCGACAGGAACGUCCAAGGUGGACACUUGCCAGGACCUUCUCAUUCCUUAUGUCUCCUUUCCUUUCUAUCUCGUUGCUCAGUUUAAAGGACUUUUAAGUAGAUGAGCGAUAGGAUAGGAGGCUUUGUUUUCUAUGUCAGUGUCAGCUGUUGUUUGCUCUAAUAUUUUCGUGUUCGGCUUUGUCAAAAGAAUAUAUUUUCCUUAUUUUUUUUUGUCGUAAAACCGGUGCUAAUGAAGUGUUCGGUAGUGACGUGGCAGAUUCUCGCUCUAUUUGUAAUUGUUUUUGCCGGCGCUUUAGCACUCGAAUGUCAUCAUUUAUCACAAAAUAAUUAAAGGUCUAGCAACCUUCAAAAAGUUUUUGCACAAAGUGCAGUCAAAGUUUUGGUCCCAGAUAUGCAACUUCAGUGGGGGCCGAAAAGGGGCGACGGGACGAGGGGCCGCACGACAAAACACUUGGUAAUAACUGCCAAAAAGUUUUCAGUCUACUCGAAUGUGGUUGUUGUUGUCUCUGGCUGCGACUUCAAAAAUAUAAUUUAUGGCCCCAUAGCCGCGGGUUCAGCCCGAGCAUCGAUAAGGUGGCUGAAGUGGCAAGAUAUUUGUACUUUUCCGAAAGGAUCCCCCGAAACACUUAUGGCCAAACUUUUACAAACCCUCCCCCCAGCAACUCACACACACACGCUCUCUUACACUCACACACACUAAUGCAAACACACAUGUGCGUCUGACAAAACAUUGUUGCAUAGUUUUUGGCCACUUGGCAGGGCUGGGGAUGCAAUUUUUUGAAAGGGGAGAUCGCUAAUAGAAAUAGGAAAUGUUUACAAAGUAUUUUCAUAACUGCAGGCACACUGACACCUGACACAGGUGUGCUAGUGUGUGUAUGAUAAUAAGGCAGACAAAUAUUUCAGGAUGUCGAGUGGGCGGGUGGAUGAGGGGCGAGGCAGAGGCAGUGGCAGUGGCAGUACUUAAGCGAAAAGGAGACGGGCUAGCUGGCAUUCUGACACUCUGGCUAAAUAAUUUUGCACACGCAUCUUAACCCUUCGGUGCCCUCGGUCCUCGGCCCGCUGGGCUGCCUGUCUACCUGUUUAUGUCUGCCCAACUCCUUUUCCGUGCCAGGAUAAAUAUGAAAAACAUGCUAAAAACUUUCAGGGCAACGUCUUCUCCUUCGGGUCCUACUUCUUCUCCUCCUGACAGCGUCUGCUGUCUCGGCAGCAUUUUUUAAGGUGCAACAUUGCUGGGGCAUCCUUUAUGCCACGCCUCCUCAGGGCGGCCCUUCUUUCGCAUUUUGCAUAACAAAAGUGCAAACUCAUUUCUCGGCCGCCUGCGGAAAAGCGCGUGGGCGUGGCAGAUACCGUUGCGAUCCUUCCUAUAUAGGUUGUAUCCUUUUUUUACCAGUUGCAUGCAUGAAAUUUAAUGGCUUGCACUUUGUUGUUGUCGCCGUCGCGACACUCAGGACACUACUAUGCAAAACAUUUCGUGCUGUUUUGGCAUGUGAAUUAUGUAUCUGAAUUUUCCUUUCUUUUCGCUGCGACAUUGCUGCCUCAGAAAUUAUUCGUCUUGGCUGCUUAAUUUAAUGUCGAGUGAGAUGAAAAAUGAGCUUCCGUCUGACGGACAACAUGAAAUCUGGCUAAUAAACACGGAACCAUUUGCCAAGCCCUUUCUCCUUUCGUCAUCUUUUUAUUUUUUUAAAACACAAUCGAAGUGCCGGCCGUGUGUAGAUUAAAUGUUUAAAAAUUAAUCGAGCCGAACCCAGGCGACCCUUCUUCACACUUGGCAUUUUCGUUUGAUUUAUGGCCACGACGUCAGGCUUUUUACUUUAAAUGCCACAGGACGAAGGACGAAGAAUGCAGGAGAGGCAGCACGGCAGCACACAACAAUUUCAAAUUGCCAGCUCAAAUUUUUUGAAAGGCGGCGACAUUUUUGGCAAAUUUAUGUAUUUGUCACAUUGCUGUUGUAGCGACAUAAAAAAAUAAAACUCAAAGGCAAAGAGAAAGGGGGCGAAACUUUUUGCCGCAACAUUGUUUUUGCUCCUUUGCCGCCGUCGCUCUGCAUAUGAUUUAUUGCAGGGGAAAUGCAUGUGCCCAACGGCAGGAAGGACUCGCCAAAAGCUGACUGUUUGGGAGUCCUGCCAGUUGCAGGGCAUUUGGCUGCAACAAAACGCAAAUUUGUCUAUUUCGUCAAAAUGGUCGACAGGCGUUUGGGGUUUUCCAGAGCCUGGUCGUCCGUUGGCCUCGUCUGCUGUUGACAUUUACCAAGCAAACCAAAUUCAGCCGAAUGCUCCGCUGUCUCACUGGCAGUGUCUCACUUUUUUGUUUGCCAGCGGGUCCUUGCAUCCUUUGGCUGCAUGGACAAAAGUUCAGCGCAAAACCAAGACAAAUCACAUGCUUUUACACAGGGCAAAUUGUCUGUUGUGUUUUUUGCACGACCAUAAAUUAUGCUUGGCUAGAUUUUUUGGCCCCGCCAGCAUGUGCAACAUUUGCAUACUUUUAGUUUUGGGCAAUCACAUGGUUUAAGUGAGCAGAGCCACGCCCACAAGGUCACCGCUCAAGGGCAAAGUGUGGCAGCAAGAAGAGCCGAAGCGAAAUUGAUGUGUCUGCCGCUCUUCCUUCUUUCUGGGGCAGGACUAAAUAAACUUAAUUUUUAAUUUCGCCCCAGAAGGGAUAAGGAGCAAAACAAAAAUAUGAAAAGUAAAAGCAAAGAAAAAUGCGUUAAGUUCUCCCUUUUAUGCCCAGCCCAUAAUUUUUCUUGGACCCCCGGGGGAGGCAAGAAAAGGGUUUUUAUUUUCGAAAGGAAGUGCAAAGUUUUGUUUGCCCAAAAUCAACAAACACAAAAAUGUUGGUAAAAAUUUCGCUUUUCCUCGUCGUGCUGUAUGUUGUUGUAUGUACAUUAUAUUAUAAGCAAACACAUAUACAUAUAAAUAUUUGCCAUAAGAAAAGAUAUGCCGACGUCGUCGCUUUUAGUUGUUCCUGUC
rnacentral:sRNA from 1 species